rnacentral:rRNA from 1 species
AGCAGCCGCGGUAAUUCCAGCUCCAAUAGCGUAUAUUAAAGUUGUUGCAGUUAAAAAGCUCGUAGUUGAAUUUCGGGGUUAGUAGGUCGGUCAUGCCUCAGGUAUGUACUGGUCUCACUGAUUCCUCCUUCCUGAUGAGCCGUAAUGCCAUUAAUUUGGUGUUGCGGGGAAUCUGGACUGUUACUUUGAAAAAAUUGAGUGUUUAAAGCAGGCUAACGCUUGAAUACAUUAGCAUGGAAUAAUGGAAUAGGACGUUCGAUCCUAUUUUGUUGGUUUCUAGGUUUGACGUAAUGAUUAAUGGGGAUAGUUGGGGGCAUUAGUAUUCAAUUGUCAGAGGUGAAAUUCUUGGAUUUAUUGAAGACUAACUACUGCGAAAGCAUUUGCCAAGGAUGUUUUCAUUAAUCAAGAACGAAAGUUAGGGAUCGAAGACGAUCAGAUACCGUCGUAGUCUUAACCAUAAACCUAUGCCGACUAGGGAUCGGAUGAUGUUAAUUUUUAAUGACUCAUUCGGCGCCUUAAC